rnacentral:rRNA from 1 species
GUUUAUCAAAAACAUGUCUUUUAGGAAUUAAUUUAAAGUCUAACCUGCCCACUGAAUAAAUUUAAAUGGCCGCAGUAUUUUAACUGUGCAAAGGUAGCAUAAUCAUUAGUCUUUUUAUUGAAGGCUGGAAUGAAUGGUUGGAUAAGAUAUUAACUGUUUCAUAAAAAUUUAUAAUAGAAUUUUAUUUUUUAGUUAAAAAGCUAAAAUAGUAUUAAAAGACGAGAAGACCCUAUAAAUCUUUAUAUUUUAUUGGGGUGAUAUUAAAAUUUAAUAAACUUUUAAUUUUUAUUUUACAUUAAUUAAUGAAUUUAUGAUCCUUUAUUUACGAUUAAAAAUUUAAGUUACUUUAGGGAUAACAGCGUAAUUUUUUUAGAGAGUUCAUAUUGACAAAAAAGAUUGCGACCUCGAUGU